rnacentral:rRNA from 1 species
GAUGAACGGUGGCGGCGUGCCUAACACAUGCAAGUCGAGCGAUCUCUUCGGAGAGAGCGGCGGACGGGUGAGUAACGCGUGGGUAACCUGCCCUGUACACACGGAUAACAUACCGAAAGGUAUGCUAAUACGGGAUAAUAUAUAAAAGUCGCAUGGCUUUUAUAUCAAAGCUUUUGCGGUACAGGAUGGACCCGCGUCUGAUUAGCUAGUCGGUAAGGUAACGGCUUACCAAGGCGACGAUCAGUAGCCGACCUGAGAGGGUGAUCGGCCACACUGGAACUGAGACACGGUCCAGACUCCUACGGGAGGCAGCAGUGGGGAAUAUUGCACAAUGGGCGAAAGCCUGAUGCAGCAACGCCGCGUGAGCGAUGAAGGCCUUCGGGUCGUAAAGCUCUGUCCUCAAGGAAGAUAAUGACGGUACUUGAGGAGGAAGCCCCGGCUAACUACGUGCCAGCCGCCGCGGUAA